UACAGAGGGGGCAAGCGUUGUUCGGAAUUACUGGGCGUAAAGGGCGCGUAGGCGGUCUUGUAAGUCUUGUGUGAAAUCCCUCGGCUUAACUGAGGAACUGCACGGGAUACUGCGAGACUUGAGGUCGGGAGAGGGAAGCGGAAUUCCGGGUGUAGCGGUGAAAUGCGUAGAUAUCCGGAGGAACACCGGUGGCGAAGGCGGCUUGCUGGACCGACACUGACGCUGAGGCGCGAAAGCUAGGGGAGCAAACGGG
rnacentral:rRNA from 1 species